rnacentral:rRNA from 1 species
CCUACGGGUGGCAGCAGUGAGGAAUAUUGUUCAAUUUACUAUAUUCUUACCCCGCCCAUUCUCGUUACGGAUGACUGCCCUAUGGUUUGUAAACUUCUUUUAUAUGGGAAUAAAAUGUUCCACGUGUGGGGUUUUGUAUGUACCAUAUGAAUAAGGAUCGGCUAACUCCGUGCCAGCAGCCGCGGUAAUACGGAGGAUCCGAGCGUUAUCCGGAUUUAUUGGGUUUAAAGGGUGCGUAGGUGGAUUGUUAAGUCAGUUGUGAAAGUUUGCGGCUCAACCGUAAAAUUGCAGUUGAAACUGGCAGUCUUGAGUACAGUAGAGGUGGGCGGAAUUCGUGGUGUAGCGGUGAAAUGCUUAGAUAUCACGAAGAACUCCGAUUGCGAAGGCAGUUCACUGGACUGCAACUGACACUGAGGCUCGAAAGUGUGGGUAUCAAACAGGAUUAGAUACCCUGGUAGUC